AAGAUCAUUUCAUAAGCUGAAGUUAUAAUAUAUGCUCUAAAAGUAAAAUGAUAAAUUAUAAAAUCUUGCAUGCAUAUUUAUAAAAAACCAAAGUGUCCACUCACAAAUUUAGGCAUAAGCCCGACGAAAUCCGAAUCGUCACUCAAGUGAUGUCCCCUCGUAUCCUGGCACAAUAAAUAUGUUUAGAACCACUCUUCAAUUUAGGAAAAAAAUAAAUGUUUUAACUUAAGCACCGAAAUCCUUCCACUUAACCAACUAAUCAAGCUAGGGUUAAGCUAAUUAGAUUUUCACCAAACAUCAACUACAACCUCACUUCAUCGAUUCUAGCACUUUAGGACCAUAACUGUCACGCCCUAAUUUUCAAAAAUUUUCGAAGGAUAAAUUUCAAAAAUUUGGGCAUGAUAUAACUCUCAAAAUAUAAUUCCCAAGACCUGUUCAACAAACUUAAAGAAGACUAAACUCAAAUGCAGAAAUGUAAUGUCAACACAACUCAACAUCGAGUUAAAUAUUACAUUUCCUUGUUUACAUAAACUUGAAAGUUAACAAAUGAAAACACUCGAAUGAGUUUAAUGCUGUCUACCAAAUAUAAUAAUAUCAAGUGUACAACAACUAAAACCCUGUCACUAUUCCUCCGCCUCAACCAUGCUGAUCAACACCUGCAGGUCUAACCCUACACCAUGAAUUAGUCACCGGGUUGUAAACAACAAACCAGGUAAGCUAAAAAGCCCGUAUAAGUAACUCUAAAAAAUAACUCAACCCAACAUUACAUAAGAUAAAACCGGUAAUUUCUGCUUUAGAACUUAGUUUAGGAAUCACCUCAAAACAAUAAAAUUCAAAAGAGAAUAAAUAAGAAAACACAACAAUUCACAAAACAAUCAAAAUCAUAAGUGAAUCCUGCAAAAAUGAUAGCUCAGGAAUUCCACUAAAAAUCACACAAAUAAUAUUAAAGAAUCUCCUGCAUUAAGCAUAGUUCAUGAGAUACUCAAAACAAGGAAUUUAAAAACAACAACAAUAAAAAAUGUUAAAACCACAUACCAAUACUUUACAAAUAUACAUGUAUCCAUGAGUCCCAGAUACCAAUAAGGUAUCUCUCAUGACCUACAACAAACAUAUGUACCCAUGAGUCCCAGAUAUUAAUAAAUACCUCUCAUGAUUUACAACAACAAUUUAUGUACCCAUGGGUCCUAGAUACCUUAAGGUACCUCCUAUGACCUACACCGACAGACGGACUAGAGCUCUAUUCCUAACCGUAACCAAUCACCCAGUUUGACUGUCUAAUAUCACAUCAAAAAAUAAUAAUAACAUCAUAACCGUAACCAAUCACCCACUACUAGGACAAGCACUUUAGCCGACGAAAAUUUUUCGUCGGCCUGUCAGCUUAAUUCGUCGGCUAAGAUCUUAGCCGACGACCUUUCGUCGGCUAAUAUUUCGUCGGGAAAAGCUCGUCUGUGGUGACUUUAGCCGACGACACAUGUAUAAGUCGUCGGCUAUAGUCCAGACUUUAGCCGACGACAUUAUUUCGUCGGCUAUAGUCAGACUUUAGCCGACGACAUUUUUGUCGUCGGUUAUCUGCCAAACUUUAGCCGACGAAUAUUUUAAAAUAUUCGUCGGCUAAAGUUUGUAAUAAAAAAAUAAAAAAGAUCUAUGGCCGACGAAAUAAAGUAUAUUUCGUCGGCUUUAUAGGUAUUUAGCCGACGAAUUAGAGCAUAUUUCGUCGGCUAAAAGUUAUUUUAAAAAAAAUAAAAAACUUUAGCCGACGAAUUAAAGCUUUUUUCGUCGGCUAUAAGUCCUUUCCAGUAAAAAAAAACCCCGAAAUUUCUGAAUUACCAUUCCAAGCAAGCUGCAAAAUAUACCAAAACAAUUCCAUAUUCCAUAUAACCAACAACAAGCACAUAAAAGUAUAUAAUUCAUCAACUACAUAAAAUCUAAAUCGUCUAAAUUAAUAUCCGCUUCUGGGGGUUACUGCGGAGGUUGCUGCGGAGGUUGCGGCGGAGGUUGCGGCGGCUGGGGUAGCGGCAUGGGCGGAGGCAUGGGCGGAGGCGGAAGUCCCUGAAGCUGGGCAGCUGUAAAGUCCUGCAUGUACUGGAACAUCUGCUGCUGCUGGGCCUGCUGGAUGGCAUGUAUCUCGGCAACAUAGGCUGCCUGCGCAGCAUUAUAGGCUGCCUGCGAGGCAUUAUAGGCUGCUUGCGAGGCAUUAUAGGCUUCCUGAGCAGCUUGCUGUUCUCGUAGUCUCUGAACUUCCGACUCUAGCUGAGUCGUCCUGGUGAUCGUGGACGUGGUCCUGCUGCUGGUCGAUGCUGCCUUUCUUUGAAAUCCUGGAGUGGUCUUCAGGACCCCCUCGNNNNN
rnacentral:lncRNA from 1 species